UUUUUAAAGUUGCAGUGUUGUUUUUCUGCAGUUCCAUGUGUGCCUGGCCAAAGUAGUAGGAAGAAAGGGAACCUAAAGCGCUUAAAUUUCAACAGACACAACUGCUUCUCUUCGUUAUUAAACUUUUGACGUAUUAUGGAAAUAACCACAAAUAUCUACUGCUGAAAAAAACGUUUCUGUUAAUCAAAUGUUCACAAAAAUCUAACCAAUAGACAAUGUCUAUGACUGACAAAGGAAUGUUUGGCAAAAGGGGGAGGAUACUCGCAACAAGUGGAUAAAACCACCCUGCCAUUUAACAGCUAUUCUUAUCAUUAUCAUUAUUAAUUGUCUUGGUUACUCAGUAAAAACACACUUAUUAAUCGAGAAUAUUGUAUUAUGGCACAUUUUGGUAUACAACAUCAUCCGCAUGGAACGCAAUUUGUAAAUUUGGGGAAUGGAUUGGGAUGCCGGGUAAGAAAAUAAAUAAGUAAGGCAGGACAGAUAACGCAUGCUGCUAGUAAUCAUAACAAGGUAAUCACACCAAAAUGCUUGCCCAAGGCAAAGAGGGUAAUUUCCUAAGAGUAUGCACGUUUUGGUUGCCCCUCACAAGCUUAUGUCCUCAUGGAUCAUAAUAUUGUGAACGGUUUCCAAGGCAUGACCCAGAUCUCUUCAUGCAUGAAUAACAUACUCAUAUCCUCUAUUCACGAGGUACAUUUCACAACUAAUAAUACAUUUACUUGUCACUUGUAAUUAAUGAUUAAUUAUUUAGUUUAUUAAUUAUAUGCUUAUUUAAUAAUUUAUUCUCAUGCAUGAAGGAUAUUGUUUCUCUUCCACUUCAAUCAUGAAGGUACACUGCACUUCACUAUAAACCGAUAAUCACAUAUGGUGUCUUCUGCACCCAAUAAACAUGUGUUAUCAAUAAUCAUGAGCUAAAGGUGGAAUGCACAAGCUGGUCCAGUAUUGGCCCAGCGUGUGUUACCACAUAAUAAUAAUAUCAGGAUUCAUAAAAGGGUGUGCCUCACCGUAAUGAUAAUAAGUGAUAAUAAUAUCAAGUAAUAAUAAGAUACACAAGCCUCACACACGCAUCUGUCCAAAUGUUAUAUGGCUGACGUAGGAAGCCCGACAUCCCCAAAUUUUCCCAAAUUAGUGUGGGUAUUGGAGGAAAAAGUCAGUCAUUAAGAGUACCGGCUUAUAUGCGUCAACAACAUACAUACAUACAAAGGAGCCUAGAUACACGUAAAACUGUACAAUAGCUAUAAAAAGCAAAUAACAGUCUAUGGCCAAAAUAAACACAAAGUCAUAAUACUUGACAUAUAUAAAAUCCAUAUUACGACACGAAUUGUGUAUGUAACCACAGGACCUAGUCUAGUAAUUAUAAUACAAUAAAUAACAAAGAUCACUCUGUAAAUUUAAAUGGAUCGAAUGUCCCACAACUUAGGCACGUCAUUGAGGUUGGCCAUUUUAGAACACCACUGUGUUAACACUUUAUUGGGAAGAUGGAUAUAUCGACGAUAACAGUCGCUGGACCACCUGCCUAAGAUCUUAAUGGCAGAGUCUGGAAUACCGCAAGAUGCUGCGGCAGAGGCCCCACCAAUCCUGAAGCUUUUUCAACAAUAUUCAAUGUUUUUGAUGUGAAAUGUCGAAAAAUCAUCAGUCAUGUUUGAAAACAUGGCUAUAGCUAUUUAUUGAAAUUCAGCCGUAAAAUUUAUGUAUCUAACAUAUAAAUUUUGCUUUAUUAUUAGACACAACUGCUUCUCUUCGUUAUUAAACUUUUGACGUAUUAUGGAAAUAACCACAAAUAUCUACUGCUGAAAAAAACGUUUCUGUUAAUCAAAUGUUCACAAAAAUCUAACCAAUAGACAAUGUCUAUGACUGACAAAGGAAUGUUUGGCAAAAGGGGGAGGAUACUCGCAACAAGUGGAUAAAACCACCCUGCCAUUUAACAGCUAUUCUUAUCAUUAUCAUUAUUAAACCUCAGGCUUUGCCCCAUGACAUAAUUUUACAACUUCUCAACAUCAUGCUAAUUUUGGGUCAAUUUAUUUUCUGGAUUUUUUCUUUGAUGAUUCACAGCUUGAAAAGAAAAAUUUGAAAUUCUCACCAAAACUUUGAUAGUGCAAAAAAAAUUUAAAAUCAUACUGCAAAUAAUAUAACCUGCCCAUAUAUUUUACAAUUAAAUUCUUAUUUAAGUAGAUUUAAUGUAAAGAAACAACGAUAAAUAAAAUACAGGAUGGUGUGCAAUCUAAUCAAGUUUAUUAGUUACCCAACUAUCAUCAGUCAAUUUAAAACCUUGCAUGACACAGAUAUUUAUUUGUUAGAGAACUUAUUAUUAAUACAAUUUAUCAAAUCGUUUUAUCCCUAUUAUUUAUUUUGACUUUGACUGGCCAUAACUUUUGUUCCUAAUGUAUUUGGGUGCUAAACUUUUCUGACUUUUCUUAACUUUUCUUGAAGUUUGUGAGAAAAGAAUUAGGAAAAAAAUAUGGGUAUUAAAUUUCUCAGACUGAGGUAAAUUUUAAUAGGUGCUGACAUGCAUGUUUGGAUGUUAUAAGAUGUGGCAUUGGUUAUUUGCCACAUGUAUGUUGGUAACCACGCAAUUAAUAAUGCACUGUUAGGAAGAUAUAGGGUCCCACACGCUCAUUCAACAGAGCCUGCGGCAGCGAACUUCAGAAACGUGCAUGCAGGAGAAUUUGAAAACAUAAUCGUAAAAAUGAUAACGUCAGCACAUUUAAAAUAUUGCUCUAAUAGCCCAAAAUAAAGUCCAUGGCCUAUGUAUUAAACUCAAAAUAUGUUUUGGUGUGUGAGGCCACAGUCUUGUAAAAACAACAAAAAUUGCAGCCAUAGCUAUUAUUGUGGUUACGGAAAUAGCGAAACUAUAACCAUUUUACACGUCAAAUUUACAAAGUAUGAAAGUUUUUCCAACAACAUGGUAUAUAUUCCUAUAAAGCCACAUUACUUAAGUUUUCCAUUGUGAAAAUUUCAUUCUACUUACAUAUUUUUUUAGCUAGAUAUUAGAAGAAACAUAGAGCUCCUAUUUCAUCUAAACGCAGUGCAGCCGCUAACUGUACUGUUUAGACAAACACAUCUGUAAAUUAGACAAACUAUGUCGAAUAUGUGGAUUUCUUCUCUCGAAAAAGAAGAACAAUACGUUCAAGGUCUUAAACCAUAAGGUCAGUAGGAGAAUGCAGCAACAUUUGUUCAUAAACAUUGAAAAUGACACUGAGGCCCUCGACCCAACCAAAAUCUGUAUGAAGUUCUACUCCAGACUUGGACAAUUGGACCAUAGAAAAAGCACAAGUAACUUAGAGUUGUUCAAAUGGACGGAGCAAAGUGAGCAAAAUUGCAAUUUAUGCGAAAACAAAAUUAAAUGAAAAAAGGGUGAAAGCCUGGAAAAUGGAUGUCCACAGGACGUUAUAGUGUCACAAAUUUACACUGGACCAGAAUUGAGACAUCAAAAAUUCAUGAAAAGUUAGGUAAAACAGUCGUGUUGAUAAAAAAAUUCAAUGAAAACCUUAAUUUAUGCAUAUGCCAGUUAUGUGAAAAUUUAAUGCAGAAUUCUGUGCUUUUGACCAAAUGUCAACUUAGCUUUUCCUUCAAAUGCUUUAUACCAACAGUGGAGGGUCGACCUCUUGAGAGUACUAAUUGUCCUGUUUGCUCCACUCUGGUGACUCCAGAAUUCAUUACAAGCUCUCAAACCAUAUCCCAUUAAAUAAGUAGUUUGAAAACUGCUUGUGAAAAAUGUGGUGAAGUUUUCAAACCCGAGGAAUAUUGCGAAGACGUGUAUUGGGCAAAAGUCACCACUAUUGAGUGAUGUUUUUAAAAUAAACAAAGAAAAUUAUAUCCCAAAAGAAUUUAAAAAAGCUACUCUCCAUGUGAUCAAAAUAAAAAUGGCAAAAUCAACAUUAUCAAAUCCUGGCAUUAAGUUCAUAACUGGUGGAUCAAGAGUAAGAACAACAUUAUUUCAAUUGAACGUCACAUAUUAGUUCAUCUUAAAAACGAUUACAUUUAUAUAAUAAUACUUUUGUUAUAGCCCUUGGUCUUGACAUCAACUCCAAAAGCUAAAAAAAACAAAACAGAAUUAAGUAAAAGAACUGUUCAAAAACACAACAAAUCCAUCCUAGGCCAACUUCAGCUUAUUUAAAUUUUGUUAACCUGUAGAGGUUACCAAAAUUUUACUCAGUUAGUUAACAUUGUAUACUCAUACACAAACAGAGUUGUAAAUUAUUGCAAAGACUAAUUUUUGCAAAUUAACGGUACUGUUAAUAAAGCUAACUUAAAACAAAACAUAACUUAAAGAAACGAAUUUAUAUAACAUGUAUACAGCAAAAGGUGUACCCACAAAAGUUUCAACUGGAAACUUUUAAGUCAUACAACUAUAAUACAAUAAGCACAUAAUUUUGCUAUUGUUUGGUAAUUCAGGUGGUGGUGCUGAAACAUUGGUAAAAAUGCAAAAUAUUAUAUAAAUUUAUCAAGAAAUUUGGUUUUCUUUUUCUGUGUUAAAUUACAGUUGGCUAAAAUCAUUGAAAAUAAACGUUGUCUGUCAAUCAAAAUAACGAAAAAUAGCGAAAAAAAUGGACUGGUGAAGAUAUAGCAGUUAAAAUGAUAAACUUCCAGUUUCCAAAGGACAAAAAGGGAAAUUUUCUUUUGAGGAUGCACCAUGGAGUUAUGUUAUUGAUCUUGUUACACAUAUUGUGUAUUAUCUUGAUGCACUGGAGUAAGUUGAAACUUUUAAUAUGUAGGAAGUUGCUUUUGGCUAUUAAACUGUAAAAUGGUAAACUUAUCAAAUUAGGGAGCGUUCACAUAUUACGUAAUCAAGUAGGGGGGAGGGGGUUCAUCGAAAUUGCUUAUGCUUGAUCAUGGGAGAGGGGUCGAUGGGAUAAGCAAAUAAAAAAAAAUUAGCAGCAUAUUUUAUCAGUGUAAAAAAUAUAUAAGUAAAAUAUAAAACUGUAAAUAUUUAAAACUUUUGUAGGGUCUGAUAAGACAAACAGUGUUUGUUUUCAUUCAUAAACUAAUUCUUUACGGAUUUUUUUGGGGGGGGUCAAGUAGAUGAUGACGUAAUUUUGGGAGGAGGGGCAAUGAUGAUGACUGAUUAAAUGGGGGAGGGGGAGUAGAAAAUAGGCAAAAAAUUGAUUACAUAAUAUGUGAACGCUCCCUUAUCAGACUGACAUUCAAUUCACAAACUUACAACAUUAAAAAUUGUAUAAAUGUACCAUUCCAAGUAACACAUAUGUAACACAAUUUCAUUUAGACAUUCUUAGUUUGUUGAAAAAAGCACCUAUCAAAAUUCGAUCGACCAUGGAGGGAGAUCAUUUAAAAUGUCCUACCAAUGUUGUAACACACUUCAUCCAAAUAGCAGAGGAAACACAGUUGUGUUUACUAUUUUUGGGGCAAAAGACUUUAGGAUAAACUUGAAACUAGGUUUGUUGCGAUUCAGUGAUCAAAUAGAUUUACUACAAACAUUACUACAAACAGGUGAGUUACAAAAUAGUACGUAUCAAUAAGAAAAAAUAUUUUUUAGACAAAGAAUAUCAGGGUAUUAAUGUUUGGUGACUACAAAUUUUUGUGUGUGAUAUAUGGAAUAACUGGUGUAAGUGGUAUGUAACUUUCCAAAAAAACAAAAACAAAAAAAUAUCAUUCUAAAUGAUGUUGCAAUUAAUCAAUAUUUCAAUUAAAUAUUUUACAGGUAGUCAUUGCUGCCUCUUUGUGAAAUAACAUCAAAGGAUAUGAAAACACCUCUAUCAAAAAGAGGAACAAUCAAAAAACGAACCUUGGAAUCACUGAAAAGUGACCUAACAAGAUUUCGAAAUGCUGGUGGCAACAUAAAUAGAACUACCAACAAUACACAUUUCUUUGGGAACAUAUUUGAAAUUUUUUAAUAUGCUGGAAGACAUAAUGUCACCUCUUGGAUUUCAAGAUAGCAGGCAGUGCUGCAAUCAAAAACAAAACAAUGACAGAUGGAAGCUUUCAGUCAUAUGUGGCGACACAAAUUAAAAUACGGGACUUGGAAUAUCUUGUUCAGAUUACCACAACAAAAUUAAUCUUGUUCACGUAGCCAUUACCACGAACAUAAUAACAAAACCUGAAAAAGAAGAGGAGAUAAUAAGCAUCUAUCAUCCAAGAAUAAAACGCUGGAAUGAUAAAAUGAGAGAAAAGUUGGCACAAAUUGAUGAAUUGGAGGAAAAAAAUUUUGGGGAAAUCAUUAGACACAAGAUUGAAACAAAUAGGCGAUGAAAAUCAAGCAUAUCAUACAAAAUCCCUUAUUGGUAAAGACGUACAUAAAAUGUUAAAGGUGAAAAAUAUACUAGAAUUAUACAACAGCAUUCCUAUCUUGGUAGUGAAUUUGGGAUUUCGCGAUACUGAUAUACACUGAGAAUCCAUUCAGCUAUGUACAAUUCAAGCUCCUUUUUAAUUACUAUUCAAAAUGUCACAACUUGAUGAAUUCUGUGAAAAACACCAUGUGAGUCUUGGUGCCUAAAUAUCAGUCUUGUGACAAUCAGACACGUCUAUCAAAACUUUGAUGAGUUUCUCGAGGAAAACUUUCCCAGUUGAAUCUGUUACACCAAAACUACACAUGCUGGUAAAUCACGUUGUAGAUUUUAUUUCAAAAUGGAAGAUUGGUUUGGGAUUGUAUUGUGAACAAGGCGAGGAGAGCAUUCACUCUGAGUUCAAUAUCUUCAGAAGCACAUAUAUUAGUGUGAGACAACCAGCAUCAAAGUGUGUGUCAUUAUAGAACAACACCAAUUGAAAGUAUAAAACCAAUAUGCAAAAGCUAUAUCCCCGAGACUAAAAAACAGAAAAAAGAACUCCAAAUCAAAGAAUGAUUCAGAGUAUUAGCUGAGAUAGCCAGCGAGGAAUGUAUAUAGUAGUAAUUUUAACACGAGUAUAAUACUUAGCUUUAGUUGUUGCUGGAAAAUUAUCAGCUUAUUAAUCCAUUGGCAAUGAGACCAUGUUGAUUUUUUGACUUUUUGAUUGACUUUAACGACCACGGAAAUUUCCAAACUGUGGACUCACAUAUCUCAUUCGUUUUUUUUUAAGGUUAACCAAGUAUUCCUCUAUAUGAGUAUGCAAUUCAUUUGCUCAGAGAAAUUCUGAACGGGAUUAUAUAAGCAUUAUCCUGUAAUGGGCAAUCCGAAACUUUGAAAAUGAUUCCACAUUUUGCUGAAGAGCCAGCGACAUACUUCCGAAGUUCUUUCUUCCUUGUUCAGUCUAAUCUACAUGUCAGUUUGCAAUUAAAUUUUGUGAGUAUGGGGCCUAUACAAGCUUACCCAGAAAAUUUUAUUGCAAACCAAGUUACAGAUCCCAAGUUAUUGGGUCGUCAGCAAAAAAUUAGGAGGCCUGGGACGAGCAAACAAGUGUUAUUUUGUCAAAAAACUUGUUAAUCAAUUUACCUUAUAAUAUGCCUUAUAAUAAAUAUCCAUUGAUAAAGUUUGAAUGCACAUGCCUUUACUGGUCUUAAAUUGCUGAUGACUGAAAAUGUCAAAAUUUGUUAUUACUUCAAUAUGACAUCAUACUUUAUGCAACAUAAUUAAAUCUAAAAUACUUUAAAUGUGAAUAUCUUGAAUGAAAAAAGCUUUUUAAAAAAAUUAAAAAGACUUGUUAACCAACUUUUGAAGCUCUAUAAUAAGCCCAACAUUUAUACCUCGGGAUCCCUUUAAGUCUUAAAUAUCAGACCUGAUUUCCUUCCCUGGCUGUUUGUCAGUUUCAUGUGUUAUACCAUGUAUUUUGACAAAAUAAAUCAAUGGUAGAGAUAAUAUCUUCGUAUAUGUUAAAUUAUUUUUUGCAAUAAAAUGAACCAAUGUUACCUACCAAUAAUUAUUGAUAUGUUUAGAUGCUAAGCUUUUCUAUGAUAAAACACUGUGUUAUCUUUAUUUAAAUUGUAGUAUUUAUGUUAUAAAUUCUAGACUUAAAAUAUGUUUUGAGAAAAAAAACAUAUUUCAAUCGUAAAAUCCAAGACUCUUCAAAGUAGAAACAGAUGAACUUGAAAACAUAGCCCCAGAAGAAUAUGCUGAGGAGAAGAAAAACAAAAAUAAAAAUAAAAUAAAAACAAAACAACAGGCACCAGAAAGAAAUAUAGAGAAAAUAUAAAUUAGUAUAUUAAAAGCAAGCAGCAGUAAUCAUUAAUUUUUUUUAUUUGUUUCUGAUCAAAAUACUUUUCUUAUAAAUGAUUUUAACAGGGUUAAUCGAAAAAGAGGCUAUAAGCAUUUCAAAUGAUUGAAUGGUAUUAUAAUUUGUUGUUCUGACUUUAUUAAUUAUUAUAGUUUCCAGAGUUUGGAAGUGAUGCUCAGAAAAGUAAUUGAUAAUUGAUCACUUUCUGUCAAAAAUUCAGGCAAAGUUAAUAGAUGUUAGAAAUGACGAAAAUGAUGUAAAAAAGUGGGAGAACACAAAUGUAGUACAGUUAAACAAACACUGUAAGCUGUCCUCGUGAUUGAGUAAGAAGACAUUACAAAUAUCCUUCAGGAAUUUAUUUAUCAGUGAGCCACAUAAAGAGGGACCUGGCAAUAGCUUUAGGCUGCCAACAAAACAUACCUGCAAGGAAGACAUGACAUCUGCAACCAUAUCACCAGGAGUCUCUUCCACCACAACCAUCACACAAACAACAACCGGCGUCAGCAGAAUCACUGCAACAACAAUUUUCACUUCCACUAUCAGUCCAGCAACAGCUACUACACCCCCACUGUUACCAGAACAAAAAGAAAAAGAGAUCCUUAAAAUCUAGACAUGCAUGCUCACUAACUCCAAAAUGCAAACAACUUAAAUGUGCAUAUCCUGUGCAAUUCGACACUCCUACACACCACAGUCCUGGAAAUUCCUGGAAUUUUGACAAGAAAUUGAAAAUGUUAAUUUUUUAUUGAAUCUAAGUUUUUCUUUUAGUCCUAAAAUUUCUCAGAGAAUUACCAUUAUAGCAUUCAAAUAUUGUUGAGAUUAAUGAAAGGUUCCAGCAACUCCAAUUUCAUCAUGUGAAGAAAUAUAGAUCCAGGGUUAAGUAAAGUUAAUGUAGCUAUACAAUUCACUCACUGUAAUCUCAUUCUUAGAUUAAAUCGAUUAUAUUCUUAGAACUAAAAAUUUGACGUUGUUGCUUAAUGGUAACAUAGCAAAAAAAACUAUUGCGCAGAAUCUAUUGAAAUGUGGCCCCUUUUGUUUCAAAGAUCACUGAUUAUUUCAGUGUAUUUUUUUCAAAAUGUCAUCCUCAAGCAGUCAAAUGAUUUUUAAUGUCCCCUAGCAUCAGAUUUUAUUAUUAAAUCAGUAUAUCUUACAAAUGAGAAAAUAAUUCCUUCUUCGGAAAUAUCAGGGCAAACUUUAAGGCUUGCACAAUAUGCAACCACAGAACUCCAGGGUUAAAAACGAGUUUCGUGAAAUCCUGCAACAUAUUUGGCUUAUAGCGAUCACACAAAUGUUUCUAGAUUGCAUUGCAUGCAUCUCAAAGAAUUGCUUAUGACGAUAUCUCCCAGAAUUGUCCUGGAAUAUCAAACAAUUUUGUCCUGGAAAAUCCUGAAUGUCCUGGAAUUUACAUUUUAAUUUUCAGUGGUCACCAUGUACACAACUUUCAUUGCACUUCAACAACAACACUCCUAUAUAUUGUUAACUUCAACUCCUCCAUAUCCACCAUUUUGUUGCCACUCCACAUCAGCCAUUUUCACAGACUGUCAAUCAACAAUGCCAACAGCUAAACAGCAAAUUAAUUCAUAAAAAUUCAUUGGUUUGUGAAAAAAUAUACUAUGUGAAAAUGUGUAAUAUUGUGGUAUAGCAACCAUGAAGUACUGCUGCAAAUUCCAUAAAGGAAUGUCCAGGUUAGGAACAUAAACUUGUAAUAUAUUUAAUUUUAUUACUUUGUAAAACUAACAACUUAUUGAUUUAAUAUAUAACUUGUAAAUAUAAAAUUUAU